CAGUCGCCGCGGUAAUACGGAGGGUGCAAGCGUUAAUCGGAAUUACUGGGCGUAAAGCGUGCGCAGGCGGUUAUAUAAGACAGAUGUGAAAUCCCCGGGCUCAACCUGGGAACUGCAUUUGUGACUGUAUAGCUAGAGUACGGCAGAGGGGGAUGGAAUUCCGCGUGUAGCAGUGAAAUGCGUAGAUAUGCGGAGGAACACCGAUGGCGAAGGCAAUCCCCUGGGCCUGUACUGACGCUCAUGCACGAAAGCGUGGGGAGCAAACAGGAUUAGAGACCCGCGUAGUCCCUGUCUCUUAUAC
rnacentral:rRNA from 1 species